rnacentral:rRNA from 1 species
AUGCUGGGUUGCGCGUUUGUGAGGCAGGAGUUGGCAUCGAGCUUUGAUUGGGUCUUUGGAGCAUUCCUAGAGGCUAUGGAUGGCAAACCUCCUGACAACUUCAUCACCGAUCAGGAUGGUGCGAUGACGCAGUCAAUACAGAGCAUCUUUCCAACCACCGUGCACCGUUGUUGUCGAUGGCACAUCAUGAAAAAGGCUCAGGAAAAGGUUGGUUGGUUGCUGUGCCGGAAUCCAGGACUCUCUGAUGAUUUCAACAAGUGUGUUGACUUCAGCUUCACUAUAGACGAGUUUGAGCAGAAUUGGGCUGGGUUAAUGAUGAAGUAUGAGGCUAUGGCACACACGCACUUUGAGAAGUUGCACGAACACAGGUCAACUUGGGUGCCGUGUGUUGGAAAUAUGCCUUAG